UACGUAGGGUGCGAGCGUUAUUCGGAAUUACUGGGCGUAAAGCGCACGUAGGCGGCUUUGUAAGUUAGAGGUGAAAGCCCAGAGCUCAACUCUGGAAUUGCCUUUAAGACUGCAUCGCUUGAAUCCAGGAGAGGUGAGUGGAAUUCCGAGUGUAGAGGUGAAAUUCGUAGAUAUUCGGAAGAACACCAGUGGCGAAGGCGGCUCACUGGCUCGAUACUGACGCUGAGGUGCGAAAGCGUGGGGAGCAAACAGG
rnacentral:rRNA from 1 species